AUUUGUCUGGUUAAUUCCGAUAACGAACGAGACCUUAACCUGCUAACUAGAUUCUUCUAUACUAUAGAUGAUAUCUUCUUAGAGGGACUAUGUAAUACAAAUACAUGGAAGUUUGAGGCAAUAACAGGUCAGUGAUGCCCUUAUAUGUCCUGGGCUGCACGCGUGCUACACUGAUGCAUACAACAAGUGCCUAACCAGACAUGGUAUGGCAAUCUCGAAUAUGCAUCGUGAUGGGGAUAGAUCUUUGCAAUUAUAGAUCUUGAGCGAGGAAUUCCUAGUAAGUGCAAGUCAUCAUCUUGCAUUGAUUAUGUCCCUGCCCUUUGUACACACCGCCCGUCGCUCCUACCGAUACCGGGUGAUCCGGUGAACCUUUUGGACUCAUUUGGGAAAGAUAAGUAAACCAUAUCACCUAGAGGAAGGAGAAGUCGUAACAAGGUUUCCGUAGGUGAACCUGCRGAAGGAUCA
rnacentral:rRNA from 1 species